rnacentral:rRNA from 1 species
AGGAUAAACGCUGGCGGCGUGCCUAACACAUGCAAGUCGAACGUCCUGUUCUCGCAAGAGAGCAGGGAGUGGCGGACGGGUGAGGAACACAUGGGUACCUACCCCUGAAGUGAGGGAUACCGGCGAGAAAUCGCCGACAAUACCGCAUAGGCUCUUUCUCGCGAGAGAGAGAGCAAAGCUUCGCGCGAGCGGGGCGCUUUGGGAUGGGCCUGUGGCCGAUUAGCUAGCUGGUGGGGUAACGGCUCACCAGGGCGACGAUCGGUAGCUGGUCUGAGAGGACGAUCAGCCACACUGGGAUUGAGAACGGCCCAGACUCCUACGGGGGCAGCAGUGAGGAAUUUCCGCAAUGGAGGCAACUCUGACGGAGCAACGCCGCGUGCAGGAUGAAGGUUUUCGGAUCGUAAACUGCUUUUCGUCGGGGACGAGCAAGGACGGUACCCGAGGAACGAAGCCCCGGCUAACUACGUGCCAGCAGCCGCGGUAA